rnacentral:lncRNA from 1 species
AUUUAAGUCAAAUCAGAGUCCUGUAACGUUAAUAAUGAUCUGUAAAAGGGUAAAAAAGACAAUUCCCUCAGUGACGCUACCUCGUUCUUUCCGAUGUCUUGCCCCUCUCCCCUCUCUAUUUGCGCACCAGCUAUAAAACAACUACCAUUUCUUCAAUCUUCAUAUUCUCUUUGUAUGAAAAAUCACUUUUUUUUAAUGAAAAAGCCUGCCAUUUGAUUGUAAAAAAUUCACAGAAAAAGGAAAUAAUCAGAAAUGUGUGGAGGAGCUAUAAUAUCGGAUUUGUUGCUGCCGAGCCGAACAUCGCGCAAGCUGACUGCUGACUUGCUAUGGGGCAGUGGCGGCGGCCCCGCCGCCGAUCUGGGCAACGGCAAGAGGAAGAUUCCGGGGAGUAACCACUCAAAACCACUGAGAUCUAAGCCGGUUGUUCAUAUUGACGAUGAUUUCGAGGCUGAUUUUCAGGACUUUAAGGAUCGCUCCGAUGAUGAAGUGGUGACCGAUGUCAAGCCUUUUGCCUUCUCUGCUUCCAAAAACUCCAACCUUCGGGGUAAUUAAAUAUAUUUUUUUUAAUCCUUUUUUCCCCUUAUUUUAUUAUUGUUUUCAGGGUUUUUAUUUUUUUAUUUUUAUAUAAUCGUCUGAUGUUUGUUGCUUGAUGUAAAUAGCUAACGUUUUGAUGUUAGAAAUGUUGUUUUUGACUCUGAUAAUUAGCUCUAGUGCUUGAUUACGAUUUCCUGUUUUAGGAUAGAUGUUUGGAUAUUACAUAAGUUUUUAGUGAGAAAAUAUUGAUUUUUGUGGUUGUGAAUGAUAUAAUUGGGUUGGUUUUGUGUUAUUUUUUGGAUUAAAAAUUGCAAUUUAUCGAUAUUAAUGUGGAUUUAAGAAUGAUCUUGUGGAAAUAUUGGAAUAUGUAUGGAGUUGCUAUUUUGAUGAAAGGUUUUUGUUUGGAAGAAAAAAAUAAAAAAAUGGGGAUUGAUAUCAGCGUUUCUGAUUUAUGUUUCUUUUGAUACAAUCAGAUAUAUCUGGGAUUAGAUAAUCAUUUUUAUCUAAAUUUGCUCAUUCUGAAACUAAUAUUUUUUAUCCAGACUAGAUCAUAAGAAUGAUCUUUCUGCAAGAGAGAGAAAAUUUCCUUGAUCUCUCACAUAAGUUUGUAAUUUUAUUUUAUUCUUCCUUGAGGUUGGUGUGGGAUUCAAAAUUGCUCAUGUCAAAUGCAAGAUUCAAUUGUCUUACAUCAAAACCUGGUCUUUCAGAAUUUCUGUUUCUCUUUGAUAUUGUAGGGGAAAGGAAAUAACUGGAUGAAUAUAAAUUUUGAAUGUUAAUCAUGUAAGUUUCAGCAAAACUUGUAAUAUUCUCUCUCUCAGGUUGAUUAGAUGUACGGUUCUUACGUUUUCAUGACUUUGAUAGUACUUCCAUGAACAUCGAGAUUGUUUGUAUUCGGUUUCUGAAUCAGAGUAGAAGCAUUUUUUGCAUUGAGAACAAACAUUGUGUCUCUUUGUUUUUUCACUUGUGGGGAUAGAUGAAGCAAUUGGAUUAUAUAAACUGAAAUCCCUUUUUUUUUUUUUUUUUCAAAUUAAAUCUGUGUUUGUAAUUUUAUGGUAUCUUGAUCUCUUGCUUCAACUUUGUUUAUAUUAUUCUUUUUNGACUUCGGGUGGGGAGAAAAUUGUGCUAAAACUCCAGAAAUUUCAUCCGUCCUCUCGGCUGUUGUUGAAGACAAUCAAACUCAAUUUGUGGAGGAUGCUAGCCCAGCAAAGAAACUCAAGUCAGAUUCUGGAGAUCUGGUGCCUGCUGCUGAAAACACCGAAGAUCCAUCGUUUGAGUCCCAGAUGAAGCCCUUUCAGAUGCCAUAUCUGGAUGGAAAUUGGGAAGCUUCACUCGAUGCAUUCCUCAAUGGAGAUGCAAUUCAAGAUGGUGGGAACGAAAUGGAUCUUUGGUCAUUUGAUGAUGUUCCAGCCAUGCUGGGUGGAGUUUACUGAGCACCAUUUCUGGCUAUCUGUACAUAAAUCUUCAUGUUAGUGAAUUUUGUCUCUUUUUCAGCUCUUAAUAUCUUUAUUUAAAUCCAAUCUGCACUUGAUAAAGCAUAACCGCUUGCUGGUUUUCUCCCUUUUUGUCUUCUUAGGUGCGUUGUUGAUGGUCGUCGUGGAUGGAAAUUCAAGCAUGCUUUGGUGCUGUAGAAGACUGGCUAAAUAAGCAUUACAUAGGCAAUAGGGAUCGAACUAUCUUUUGAGACUUUUAAUUUGGGAUGAUUUUAAAUUUGUCUGUGUGGAUGUUAAAAGACACGUAAACUGAUGUUUCUGUUAUGCCGUGUUUGUUGGUUGCUACAUUAUAUCUUUCUUCUUGUAGACGUAUGCUAUUUUUCCUAAAGCAUUAUGACUUCAUUACCAGCGUCUUGUUUUCUGUAUACUAAGGUGGAGAUAGGAUUCGAGACCCUGUUUUCCUUCUCUUUCGGUCGAUUUUUGAAUCCUAAACUGCUUCUCUUGUGACUAUGAAGUUUAGAAUUAAUAGAAUGAGAUCAGUAUGUGUGUCUAGAAAAUAUUCAACUGUUAGUUUUUGAAUCAGGAAGUCCUGAAAUAGCAUGUUUUAAUACGGUACAAUAAAUAAGAUUUUAUUGUCUUUUUAUUUUUUAAUAUUUGUUCAACUCUAUUCGAUACGAGCAGGUAGGACUGGUAGCACCAUUGACUUGGUAUAGAAUUUUAGGAAGCGUGUGCAGCAGCAGUUUAGAUACUAUGAGUAUUUGCAAGUUUGGUUGAGAAUAUUAGGUGAACAGACGCUGUCUGAUUUGAUAUAAUUUUAAGGAGUUUUCUUAGGCUACAUAAUUUGGUGUACCGAAGGGUGUACACCUUUUACAUGGUGGGGUAUACUUGAAUAUUUUAUUAACGUGGAUCCUUUUUUUUUUUUUUUUUUUUUNGUAGACGUAUGCUAUUUUUCCUAAAGCAUUAUGACUUCAUUACCAGCGUCUUGUUUUCUGUAUACUAAGGUGGAGAUAGGAUUCGAGACCCUGUUUUCCUUCUCUUUCGGUCGAUUUUUGAAUCCUAAACUGCUUCUCUUGUGACUAUGAAGUUUAGAAUUAAUAGAAUGAGAUCAGUAUGUGUGUCUAGAAAAUAUUCAACUGUUAGUUUUUGAAUCAGGAAGUCCUGAAAUAGCAUGUUUUAAUACAGUACAAUAAAUAAGAUUUUAUUGUCUUUUUAUUUUUUAAUAUUUGUUCAAUUCUAUUCGCGAUACGAGCAGGUAGGACUGGUAGCACCAUUGACGGUAUAGAAUUUUUGGAAGCGUGUGCAGCAGAAGUUUAGAUAGUAUGAGUAUUUGCAAGUUUGGUUGAGAAUAUUAGGUGAACAGACGCUGUCUGAUUUGAUAUAAUUUUAAGGAGUUUUCUUAGGGUACAUAAUUUGAUGUAUCGAAAGGUGUACACCUUUUACAUGGUGGGGUAUACUGGAAUAUUUUAUUCACAUGGAUCCUUUUUUUUUUUUGAUAUCCAGGUAUCCCAUCUUACACUAGGUUAAAUUCUGGACCUCCAAGAUCCAUGCCCCUUGAACCUUGGAGGGGGUAAAUCGCGGGUUAUGCCUCAACUGGAUCACAGGUUCCCCCUAUUGACUGGAUACUUCUGCGCACAAAAGACCCUCAUCUACAGUGAUUGCUUCAUACCAAAUUUUUGGUCGCAGGUUCCCACCAGGAAUCGAACUCUCCACUUUGUCGCUGGAAGCAAGCUAAUGUUGAUUGAUCCACCAGUUGAGCUGUGCCCCGGGAGGCUUAUUCACGUGGAUCCUAUCCUCAUGUGAGUGGGUGUACACUUUCGGUGCACCAAAUUAUGUACCGUUAGCUUUAUCCAAAUUUAAGACGAUAGAGAAGUUAUGACGAUGUAUACACUUGCAUGAUUUCGUAGAGAAUUUGAAGUAGCACAAACAUUUAUUUGAUGUGCCAAGAAUUGAUUGGUUCCCGAAUAUUAAUUGAUGCGCCAUAUUAUUAAGUUAAACAUCGAUGCUUUAACCAUUUAGUUGGUGUUUAAUUAUUGAUGAAAAUUUUAUUCUUAUAUUGGUAAAAAGUUAUCUAAGAUUUGUAGUUCGUUUAUAAUGUGUGCAUGCGUGUGUAUAUAGCAUAUGUUCUUCAAUUUUGAAUGUUGCAUUUUACUAGUUUAAGUAACCGAGGUUAAAUUUAUUUAUUUAGUCUAAGUUUGACAACCAUUAUUUGGAAAUUCUCAUUUUUAUGCACUUAUUUUUAAUCACAUAUUUACACAAUAAAAU